ensembl:lncRNA
UUCCCUUUUUUACUUACUUUUUUCAACAUCUUUCCUCUUGUCACCUGCAACUGAAGUGCCUGCCCCUUCUUGGUUCUGGGAGUUCUAGCCUAAUGGACUGUGAGGAGCCUUCUGAAUUCCCCUGUAUUUCUCCCCAGCAGGAAGAGUUUUAUGACUUGACAAAACAGAAUAGAAUUCAGAAGAAGUCAGAGGAAAUGAGAAGAAUCAGGCUGCAGAAGCAAUAUGUGAUGCCACAGCCCCUCCCUGAAUCAAGGACUCAGCAUGGGACAGACGCAGCCAGGGAUGUCUGCAAGUACCUUUUAUAAAAUUAGUCCACCAAAAUGUUAGGGGGCCCACAAGUUUCUUAGCUUGUUUUUCUAUUUGCUUGUUUACAAGUCCAUUCAGCCAUUUUCCCAAAUGGCUAUCUCUCUUCCCCAGUGCUGAUGACAGAAAUCUGCAAUGUUUAUUCCUUGCCCGUAAAAGCUAGGUACAAGGUGAUGAGAAAAAUCAUUACUAAAGCCAUGUACCAUUUCCCACUGCACUCAAGAACAUGGACUCAAGAGCAUGCAACUAAAAUGGCUGCCAUUUCUUGGUUCUGAGAGUUCUAGCCCAGUGAGCUGUGAGGAGGUCUCCUGAAUUCUUUGAAAUAGCACAGGGUGGAAAACUAAAAGGGGGAGAAUUUGUGAAGCCUGGGGACCUGGAGCAUGAGCUCCCCACCUCAGACCAUGGGUGAAGAGAUGGUGCCAGUGGCAAGUGCAAAGAGCCAGUGUGCUAGUACUCCUGAAGCAAGUUGCGGUGCCUGGGAACAGACCAGGUGCUGUAGGGCAAAAAAGCUCCUCCAACUGCACAGCUUUGAGCUGAGUGCCCCUGUCCAGCUCUGAGAAAGCAAUCUGGCCACAGCCCUGCAGGAGUAAUCCCUCCCCUUGCAUUGUGGAUUCCUUCAGUGCUUUGGAUCCAACCAUAGACUUUUAAUAAUGAUCUUCUGUAAAACUUUCACUUCAGACGGUUUCAAAACAGAGGCCCAGAGCAGCAGUAGAGAAGGAGAUAGAAAAAGUAAAGUCUCAUUUAAGUUUAGGGUUUUUAAUUCCUUUUUUUUUUUUUUCCUAUUUACUGUGUCAGCACAUUGAAGUUGAUAAAACAAAGCUUGGCAUAAAAGAGAAUAAAUGCUAGAGAUAUGGA